GCCCGCAGCCCGAUCGCGGGCUCGGAGCGAACCCGACCGACCGCCGCCCCCAGCCAGGAUUAAUUGGCUUCUUCUGUGAAAGGGGGACUCAUCUUCUUGGGAGCCCCGGGGGCUUUCAAGAUGACUGUUUUGAGCCUCACCUGCACGAAGCCAGAACAGCCAUUUCCUUCCCUGGAGCUGUGACGCCCACCUGACAGCCUCUCACCUCUGACCUGCUCCGGCAGGGGGCUGAGGGAGGUUGGGGACCUAGGGGUCUGAGAAAUGGGCAGUGGGCAGAAAGGAAGCCGGGUACCGAACACACAGGAGGACCGGCCGGCGCUGGCAGGGUGCACCAGGCGCAGCAGGGAGACUACCGAGGGUCCAGUGGGCGGCUGCUCCUGGGGCAAGACCCGCUAGGAGAGCCGCAGGGUCAGGAAGAGCUGAGAUGCUCCCAUAUUCCCAGGAGACAAAAACGUUAUUUUUUUUCGUUGGUUUAUGCUUUCUUCCCCCUUACCCCUAGAUCCCAAGACUCAUUCCACUUCUUUCCCCUCCUAUUUUUGCAAAAAGGGAAACUGAGGCAGAUAACAGGCUGGCUGGACAUGUCUAUGUUUAGAAGGAAAGGGUGGAGAGGAAAGCACACUGAAUUUGGAGCCAAAAGACCUCCGUCCAAGGCUUGCGUCAGGGCUCCAUGGGUGGCCUUGGGCCAAAAACACUUCCCCUGGUUGGGCCUCAGCUUUCUCCCCUGUAAAACGGGAGAGGGCCCACCCGUCUUGCAGGUUAGCUGUGACACCAGACAGGUCCGAAGUGCCCUGUGAAAGUGACCGCGAUGAGUACUGUGAGAUGCAAUCUUCACUGCUGCAGGGAGCCCCUCUCCCCGCACCCCUGCCCUCACCAAGGGGACUGGCUAGCCCACGGGGCACCUUUGUAAGAAUGAGAAAAGGUACUGUCUCUGGAAGGAGAGUGUUCAGCUGGGCUAGGGACUUGGGGGUCUUACGAGAAGCAGAAAAAGGCGCACUCUCCCCAGGUGCAGCGGUUCCACACAGUUGGGCAAACAGGAUGUGGGCUGCACUCCAGUGCCCACCGACCUUCAGGGGAGCGUCCUUGCUGAGGGCAGCGCGUCUGUGCACCUGCGCCCGGCAGUCCUCCUGGCAGCCCCCAGCUCCUCUAAGCGACACAAAGGUGCACGCCCAGGGCAUCUCCUACAGAAGCCCACAUCCGAGGCUGCUGCCAGCUCAGUUUCUUUCCCGCUUUGCCUCCACGACAGGGCGUCGGGGAACUCAGUCCACAAAGCCUGUGCCCUACUGGGAAGCUUACGGAGGAAGCAUCUCCCUAACUUCCGAGAGAUGAUCCUCUGAGUCAAGUAGUGCCUUCACCAAGCUUCCAGGGGUAAGGGUUACUGAACCCUAACCCGUAAUGUCAAGAACUUGAUCCUCAACUAUACUCCAAUAUAAAUUUUUUAAAUUAGAUUAAAAUAAAAAAACACUUGAUCACAUCAGUUUUCCCCCAAAAUCAACUGACUGCACUGCCAUCCCGCAGAGGUGCUCACACCUGCUAUGUCAGAGCAUCCUCAGUAAGCCUGUUAGGCAGACAUCCUCCCCCGUUUAUACAGAAGGGGCUGUGCCCACAGACAUUCAGGAACCUGCCCAAGGGUUCACAGCAUGUAGAGGAGUAGCACCAGGACGUGAGCCCAGGUUUAGCUGCCAGUCUUGUCCACCCGGCCGCUCCGACUGAGGAAGCGAGCUGCUGACCUCACAGACCUGCCGAAGCGCACUGGAACCGCUCUCCCACUGUAUCCCCAGCAGCCCCUGGCUCUCUCUUUUCCCCUCAGGGAGCAACCCCCAAGCCCAGAAGAAAGAGUCCCUUUCUCUUCUCUGAGUUUGUGGGGGGAGGGAACUACCUCAAAACCCAACUGUUCUGACCUCUUCAAGGUUGUCAGCAGAAGACAAGAAGGGCCCCUGGUGAUUCCAGAGGUCCACUGUGGGAGCUGACCCUUGACUGGGUCAGAGGCCAGGAAACGGGUCAAUUCAGUUCAGUCGCUCAGUCAUGUCUUACUCUUUGCGACCCCAUGGACUGCAGCACGC